GCCCUGGUGGCGAAUGGUAUCGCGCCCGCACCCGGUAGCUUGGUGGGCGCUUUCUAGCGCGGGAGAGCUUGGUUCGAAUCCAGCCCAGGUCG